rnacentral:rRNA from 1 species
CCUACGGGAGGCUGCAGUGAGGAAUAUUGGUCAAUGGGCGGAAGCCUGAACCAGCCAAGUAGCGUGAAGGAUGACGGCCCUACGGGUUGUAAACUGCUUUUAUACGGGAAUAAAGCGCGGCACGUGUACCGCUUUGCAUGUACCUUAUGAAUAAGGAUCGGCUAACUCCGUGCCAGCAGCCGCGGUAAUACGGAGGGUCCGAGCGUUAUCCGGAUUUAUUGGGUUUAAAGGGAGCGUAGGUGGUUUGUUAAGUCAGUUGUGAAAUUUCGCGGCUCAACCCGGGCAUUGCAGUGGAAACUGGCGUACUUGAGUACGCGUGAGGCAGGCGGAAUUCGUGGUGUAGCGGUGAAAUGCUUAGAUAUCACGAAGAACUCCGAUUGCGAAGGCAGCUUACUGCACCGAAACUGACACUGAUGCUCGAAAGCGUGGGUAUCGAACAGGAUUAGAUACCCUUGUAGUC